rnacentral:snRNA from 1 species
AUCUUUGCACAGUGGCAAGAUCGUAGCCCAUGAGGUUUAACAAUGAGGUGAUUAUUGCUGGUUGAAUACUUAAUCCAAUACGA